GGAUGGACCCGCGGUGCAUUAGUUAGUUGGUGAGGUAAAGGCUCACCAAGACCGUGAUGCAUAGCCGACCUGAGAGGGUAAUCGGCCACACUGGGACUGAGACACGGCCCAAACUCCUACGGGAGGCAGCAGUGGGGAAUAUUGCACAAUGGGGGAAACCCUGAUGCAGCGACGCCGCGUGAGCGAUGAAGUAUUUCGGUAUGUAAAGCUCUAUCAGCAGGGAAGAUAAUGACGGUACCUGACUAAGAAGCACCGGCUAAAUACGUGCCAGCAGCCGCGGUAAUACGUAUGGUGCAAGCGUUAUCCGGAUUCAUUGGGCGUAAAGCGCGCGUAGGCGUCUCCUCAAGCGGCACCGUCGAAGCCGGGGGCUCAACCCCCGGAAGCGGGCCGAACUGGGGGGAUCGAGUGCGGUAGGGGCAGGCGGAAUUCCCGGUGUAGCGGUGAAAUGCGCAGAUAUCGGGAAGAACACCGACGGCGAAGGCAGCCUGCUGGGCCGGCACUGACGCUGAGGCGCGAAAGCUGGGGGAGCGAACAGGAUUAGAUACCCUGGUAGUCCCAGCCGUAAACGAUGGGCGCUAGGUGUGGGGGAGCCAUUCCUCCGUGCCGCAGCCAACGCAUUAAGCGCCCCGCCUGGGGAGUACGGCCGCAAGGCUAAAACUCAAAGGAAUUGACGGGGGCCCGCACAAGCAGCGGAGCAUGUGGCUUAAUUCGAAGCAACGCGAAGAACCUUACCAGGGCUUGACAUCACCGUGAGCCGGCGGAGACGCCGGGGCCGAAAGGAGCGGUGACAGGUGGUGCAUGGCUGUCGUCAGCUCGUGUCGUGAGAUGUUGGGUUAAGUCCCGCAACGAGCGCAACCCCUAUUGUUAGUUGCUACCAUUAAGUUGAGCACUCUAGCGAGACUGCCCGGGUUAACCGGGAGGAAGGUGGGGAUGACGUCAAAUCAUCAUGCCCCUUAUGUCUAGGGCUACACACGUGCUACAAUGGCAAGUACAGAGAGAUGCAAUACCGUGAGGUGGAGCUAAACUUUAAAACUUGUCUCAGUUCGGAUUGUAGGCUGAAACUCGCCUACAUGAAGCUGGAGUUACUAGUAAUCGCGAAUCAGCAUGUCGCGGUGAAUACGUUCCCGGGCCUUGUACACACCGCCCGUCA
rnacentral:rRNA from 1 species